GACGUAGGGGGCGAGCGUUGUCCGGAAUUACUGGGCGUAAAGAGCACGUAGGCGGGAACCUAAGUCGGGUGUGAAAGACCGUGGCUCAACCACGGGGUGGCAUUUGAAACUGGGUUUCUUGAGGGCAGGAGAGGAAAGCAGAAUCCUGGUGUAGCGGUGAAAUGCGUAGAAAUCAGGAGGAAUACCAGUGGCGAAGGCGGCUUUCUGGACUGACCCUGACGCUGAGGUGCGAAAGCGUGGGUAGCAAACAGGAUUAGAUACCCGGGGUAGUCCCUGAGCGGGCU
rnacentral:rRNA from 1 species